ensembl:lncRNA SZT2-AS1 SZT2 antisense RNA 1
GUACCAGGAGACCGUCAUGGAUAGGAAGCAGUCCUGAGGGAGGAGCCACAGGCCUGAGUCUUCUGUGCCAGUCACCUCAGAUUCCUGUGCCCUCUGCCCUGGCUGCCAGUGGAAUUCCUGGCACCUAUCCCAGCUCUUUCGGGAGCCCACAGUUCCUUACCAGCUGGGGGUCGAUGUCCCCAAUGGAUUUGGCAUGGACUGCUUCUAGGAGUUCCUCCAGCUCUGCCAGGGCCAGGCGCCCCCCUAGCCGCAGUCGAUCAGGCCCCGGUGGCUCCAGCAAGAAGAGGCGCUUCCAAAGGGUGUCCCGACGGCAGUGCCCUCCAGCCAGCCGCACCAGCUGAGCCAGCCGUGCUCGUGCCAUGCCCACCUCUGCAGCCAGUGGUGGGAACAGAGGAGCCGGUCCAGGCGCUAGAAUAAGCCCUGAGGCCUCCCCAGGGCUGCCAGCUGAACUCCCAGGAGCCUCUGGCUCAGGGGGCAGUCUGGGUGGCUUCCGGAAGCGGCGCAUGUCAGCAGUGAGCCUGGGGAAGAGCUCUCGCUGGCUGGGUGCAGCACAGUGACAGACAAGCAGAGACACAUCAAAGUCAUCCUGGUGUCGAAGUCCCUCAGAGUCCAGGUAGGAGCCAGAACUGUGCAGGACGGGUUGGGGAGAUGUCAACUCUGGGGUUCUAAUAAAACAAACCUCACCCCUGCCCAAGAAAA